GAUGAAGAACGCAGCGAAAUGCGAUAAGUAGUGUGAAUUGCAGAAUUCCGUGAAUCAUCGAAUCUUUGAACGCACAUUGCGCCUUCUGGUAUUCCGGAAGGCAUGCCUGUUCGAGAGUCAUUAACAACCGUUUCGAUCCCUUUCUUUCAGAAAUUACAAAGAGGAAAAGGGUUUGGUUAUGGUGGAGGAGGGAGAGGGAGCGUUUAGCCUGUAAAAAAAGAGGCUGUGUUCCGCCUCCCCCCCAAAAUUGUACAGGCGGUCGUGUGCGCCCACGCAUCGAGGUGUUGUAAAAGCUGCCACGGCACUUUUCACCUGUGCAGUGCGAGAUUGGCCAGCCGGUUUAAAAACCCCUCCAAACAAUCAAAGGUUGACCUCGGAUCAGGUAGGGAUACCCGCUGAACUUAAGCAUAUCAAUAAGCGGAGGA
rnacentral:misc_RNA from 1 species